rnacentral:tRNA from 1 species
GCUGGGAUGGCCGAGUCGUUAAGGCGAGUGAUUUGAAUACUGCUUAUGUAAUCAAUGUAUUAUGUAAACAUCAAAUUAUCACUUGGUGUUUCACCGCGUAGGUUCAAAUCCUGCUCCCAGCG